rnacentral:lncRNA from 1 species
CGAACACGUUUGCUUUUGCGAUUCGAGAGCCCUUUCUGGCGCGGAGCUAGGGGCGGUGUUACGUAGCUGCCCUGAACUGAGAGCAGCGUUGGCCGGGGGCUAGGGAGCCGGGCUGUUCCACGCUCACUGUGCGCCUCGGGCGGCGGGGCUCGGGCUCUGUCCGAGGUGCUGAACUCCGGGGCUCCGGCCGCGCCGGCAGAGUGUGCCAGCGUCCAUUAUUGCCAGUGUCUGUGGGCAUCUUCCAGAAGGCCGAGCAUGGGGGUCAGGUGAAACCAGGGCGCUCCCAAGCACCUUGCCCAGUAGAGCCCCCUUGCACCCUGCUUGGUUGGUCAGCACCCCAUGGACAUGCAGCCUUGACCUUGGCAUGGGAAGCCUCCACUGUGUCAAGCCCAACAUCCAGGCCUCUGAAGACAGUCAUUCAGGGAGAGAGAAGAAACAGAAUGGAAGAAACAUGGAAGGAAG